CCAGAGAGCAAGAGGGUGAGAAAGAGCUAUUGCGUGUUUGGUUGGUUUGGAGGCAUCCCAGGCUCUAUUGCUACUCAUCGUCCUUGUCCUUUCCUCCAGGCUCCUGUAGGACCAUGGUGGUUGCGACUCUGCAUCCAGUUGGAUGUUCCCCGGCUUCCCAUCUUGUUGUUCUGAUGCUUCAAUCCUUUUUGUCAUCAAGACCUGUCUGCCAAUGCCUUGCAAAGCAAAUCUUUGCCAUGUCCCCGAUGACUGAG
rnacentral:lncRNA from 1 species